GUGGGGAAUAUUGCGCAAUGGGGGAAACCCUGACGCAGCAACGCCGCGUGAAGGAUGAAGGUUUUCGGAUCGUAAACUUCUUUGAUGAGGGAAGAAUAAAUGACGGUACCUCAAAAACAAGCCACGGCUAACUACGUGCCAGCAGCCGCGGUAAUACGUAGGUGGCGAGCGUUAUCCGGAUUUACUGGGUGUAAAGGGCGUGUAGGCGGGAUUGUAAGUCAGAUGUGAAACUCCGGGGCUCAACUCCGGAACUGCAUCUGAAACUAUGAUUCUUGAGUGCUGGAGAGGAAAGCGGAAUUCCUAGUGUAGCGGUGAAAUGCGUAGAUAUUAGGAGGAACACCAGUGGCGAAGGCGGCUUUCUGGACAGUAACUGACGCUGAGGCGCGAAAGCGUGGGGAGCAAACAGGAUUAGAUACCCCGGUAGUCC
rnacentral:rRNA from 1 species